UGCAAGUCGAACGGCAGCGGGGGCUUCGGCCCGCCGGCGAGUGGCGAACGGGUGAGUAAUGCAUCGGAACGUACCCAGUCGUGGGGGAUAACUACGCGAAAGCGUAGCUAAUACCGCAUACGCCCUGAGGGGGAAAGCGGGGGACCUUCGGGCCUCGCGCGAUUGGAGCGGCUGAUGUCGGAUUAGCUAGUUGGUGGGGUAAAGGCCUACCAAGGCGACGAUCCGUAGCUGGUCUGAGAGGAUGAUCAGCCACACUGGGACUGAGACACGGCCCAGACUCCUACGGGAGGCAGCAGUGGGGAAUUUUGGACAAUGGGGGCAACCCUGAUCCAGCCAUUCCGCGUGAGUGAAGAAGGCCUUCGGGUUGUAAAGCUCUUUCAGCAGGAACGAAACGGUGGCCAAUAAUACUGGCUACUAAUGACGGUACCUGAAGAAGAAGCACCGGCUAACUACGUGCCAGCAGCCGCGGUAAUACGUAGGGUGCGAGCGUUAAUCGGAAUUACUGGGCGUAAAGCGUGCGCAGGCGGUUGUGUAAGACAGGUGUGAAAUCCCCGGGCUUAACCUGGGAACUGCGCUUGUGACUGCACGGCUAGAGUACGGCAGAGGGGGGUGGAAUUCCACGUG
rnacentral:rRNA from 1 species